GUAGUUGUGGCUGAGUGGUUAGGGCAAUGGACUAGAAAUCUAUUGGGGGUUUCCCCAUGCAGUUUCGAAUCCUGUCAACUAUG